GUGAAUCAUCAAAUUUUUGAACGCAAAUUGCACUUUCUGGUAUUCCGGAAAGUAUUCCUGGUUGAGGAUUAGUUAAAUAAGAAUCGGUGUUUUUGUUUCUUUUUGUGGUGACGGGGUGGAAUUGAGUUCUCUUAGGUUCGGUUAGGUGACUUAAAGUUUUUCAUGAUUUUCUAUCGUAUUUAAUUUUCUUUC
rnacentral:misc_RNA from 1 species